rnacentral:rRNA from 1 species
CAGCAGCCACGGGAAUACGUAGGUGGCAAGCGUUGUCCGGAUUUAUUGGGCGUAAAGCGAGCGCAGGCGGUCAAUUAAGUCUGAUGUGAAAGCCCCCGGCUCAACCGGGGAGGGUCAUUGGAAACUGGUUGACUUGAGUGCAGAAGAGGAGAGUGGAAUUCCAUGUGUAGCGGUGAAAUGCGUAGAUAUAUGGAGGAACACCAGUGGCGAAGGCGACUCUCUGGUCUGUAACUGACGCUGAGGCUCGAAAGCGUGGGUAGCAAACAGGAUUAGAUACCCCCGUAGUCCCUGUCUCUUAUAC